AUUGAACGCUGGCGGCAGGCCUAACACAUGCAAGUCGAACGAGUGGCGGACGGGUGAGUAAUGUCUGGGAAACUGCCCGAUGGAGGGGGAUAACUACUGGAAACGGUAGCUAAUACCGCAUACCAUCGGAUGUGCACAGAUGGGAUUGGCUAGUAGGUGGGGUAACGGCUCACCUAAGCGACGAUCCCUAGCUGGUCUGAGAGGAUGAACAGUCACCUUGGGAUGGGUACACGGUCCAGACUCCUAUGGGAGGAAGCAGUGGGGACUAUUGCACAAUGGGCGAAAGCCUGAUGCAGCCAUGCCGCGUGUAGUAAGAAGGCCUUCGGGUUGUAAAGUACUUUCAGCGAGGAGGCGUUACUCGCAGAAGAAGCACCGGCUAACUCCGUGCCAGCAGCCGCGGUAAUUC
rnacentral:rRNA from 1 species